rnacentral:rRNA from 2 species
AAGCUUGCUUCUCGCUGACGAGCGGCGGACGGGUGAGUAAUACUUAGGAAUCUACCUAGUAGUGGGGGAUAGCUCGGGGAAACUCGAAUUAAUACCGCAUACGACCUACGGGAGAAAGGGGGCAACUUGUUGCUCUCGCUAUUAGAUGAGCCUAAGUCGGAUUAGCUAGAUGGUGGGGUAAAGGCCUACCAUGGCGACGAUCUGUAGCUGGUCUGAGAGGAUGAUCAGCCACACCGGGACUGAGACACGGCCCGGACUCCUACGGGAGGCAGCAGUGGGGAAUAUUGGACAAUGGGGGCAACCCUGAUCCAGCCAUGCCGCGUGUGUGAAGAAGGCCUUUUGGUUGUAAAGCACUUUAAGCAGUGAAGAAGACUCUAUGGUUAAUACCCAUAGACGAUGACAUUAGCUGCAGAAUAAGCACCGGCUAACUCUGUGCCAGCAGCCGCGGUAAUACAGAGGGUGCAAGCGUUAAUCGGAAUUACUGGGCGUAAAGCGAGCGUAGGUGGCUUGAUAAGUCAGAUGUGAAAGCCCCGGGCUUAACCUGGGAACGGCAUCUGAUACUGUUAGGCUAGAGUAGGUGAGAGGAAGGUAGAAUUCCAGGUGUAGCGGUGAAAUGCGUAGAGAUCUGGAGGAAUACCGAUGGCGAAGGCAGCCUUCUGGCAUCAUACUGACACUGAGGUUCGAAAGCGUGGGUAGCAAACAGGAUUAGAUACCCUGGUAGUCCACGCCGUAAACGAUGUCUACUAGUCGUUGGGUCCCUUGAGGACUUAGUGACGCAGCUAACGCAAUAAGUAGACCGCCUGGGGAGUACGGCCGCA